rnacentral:rRNA from 1 species
GACGAACGCUGGCGGCGUGCCUAAUACAUGCAAGUCGAGCGAAUCUUUGGGAGCUUGCUCCCAAAGAUUAGCGGCGGACGGGUGAGUAACACGUGGGCAACCUGCCUAUGAGACUGGGAUAACUCCGGGAAACCGGGGCUAAUACCGGAUAAUUCUUUUCUACACAUGUAGAAAAGUUGAAAGAUGGUUUCGGCUAUCACUCAUAGAUGGGCCCGCGGCGCAUUAGCUAGUUGGUGAGGUAACGGCUCACCAAGGCGACGAUGCGUAGCCGACCUGAGAGGGUGAUCUGCCACACUGGGACUGAGACACGGCCCAGACUCCUACGGGAGGCAGCAGUAGGGAAUCUUCCGCAAUGGACGAAAGUCUGACGGAGCAACGCCGCGUGAGUGAUGAAGGUUUUCGGAUCGUAAAACUCUGUUGUUUGGGAAGAACAAGUACCGGAGUAACUGCCGGUACCUUGACGGUACCUAACCAGAAAGCCACGGCUAACUACGUGCCAGCAGCCGCCGUAAAAC